AAAACAACAUUCGGACCGUCGCGUCGGUCUACCGAGCAAAUAUCACUCGCUCGGUGGAAGAUCUUCCCUUUGUCGUAUAUA
rnacentral:pre_miRNA from 1 species